rnacentral:rRNA from 1 species
CAAAGCUCGUACCUUUUGCAUCAUGAUUUAGCAAGUGUAACCCAAGCAAAGCGUACUUUAGUUUGAUGUCCCGAAACUAAGUGAGCUACUCCAAGACAGCCUAUUAAUAGGGCGUACCCGUCUCUGUGGCAAAAGAGUGGGGAGAACUUUGAGUAGAGGUGAUAAACCUACCGAACCUAGUUAUAGCUGGUUGUCCGAGAAAUGAAUAGAAGUUCAGCCUUUCAGCUUCUCUUUAAACCGAAAGAGUUAGUCAAAGGGGGUACAGCCCCUUUGAACCAAGACACAACUUUAUCAGGUGGGUAAAGAUCAUAAUAAUUAAAGCUAAAUGUUCUGGUGGGCCUAAAAGCAGCCAUCCCCUUAGAAAGCGUUAAAGCUCAGACAUGUUAUCCUGACCACUUAAUCUUAUCCCCCUAAUCAUACUGGACCCUCCCAUGUCGACAUGGGAGUGACUAUGCUGAAAUGAGUAAUAAGAGAGGGCUCUCUCCCUGCACACACGUACAUCGGAACGGACAACCCACCGAACCUUAACGAUCCCAAAUAAAGAGGGCAAUGUAUAUUAACUAGAAAAGUAUCCACCGUUAAACCCACACAGGUGUGCCUCUAGGGAAAGACUAAAAAAAAGAGAAGGAACUCGGCAAACAAGCCUCGCCUGUUUACCAAAAACAUCGCCUCUUGCAAAAAUAAGAGGUCCCGCCUGCCCUGUGACUAUUUGUUUAACGGCCGCGGUAUUUUGACCGUGCGAAGGUAGCGCAAUCACUUGUCUUUUAAAUGGAGACCCGUAUGAAUGGCAUAACGAGGGCUUAACUGUCUCCUCUUUCAAGUCAAUGAAAUUGAUCUUCCCGUGCAGAAGCGGGAAUAUAAACAUAAGACGAGAAGACCCUAUGGAGCUUUAGACACCAAGGCAGCCCACAUCAAACACCCUUAAACAAGAGACUAAACCAUAGUGGACCCUGCCCUAAUGUCUUUGGUUGGGGCGACCGCGGGGAAUUACAAAACCCCCACGUGGAAUGGGAACACUCCUACAGCUAAGAGCUACAGCUCUAGUAAACAGAAAUUCUGACCAACAAGAUCCGGCAACGCCGAUCAACGGACCGAGUUACCCUAGGGAUAACAGCGCAAUCCUCUUUUAGAGCCCAUAUCGACAAGGGGGUUUACGACCUCGAUGUUGGAUCAGGACAUCCUAAUGGUGCAG